rnacentral:rRNA from 1 species
CUCGGCCUUGCGGCGAUCGAGCGCGCGCGCAAGCGCCAAGCUUCCAGGCUGACCUGGAUCAAGCUGGGCGACGCGGGAACCAAGUUCUUUCAUGCAAAGAUCCGUUCGAGACGUAGAAAGAACUUCAUUCACAGCCUGCAGACUGAUAGCGGAAUCGUCACAUCACACGAAGACAAGGAAGUAGUCAUCUUCGAGCAUUUCAACUCCGUCCUCGGCUCCAAGGGGGACUGUCACAGGGCCAUCAACUGGAGCCAACUGCAGCUGCCCACUGUUCGAGGGGGAGGCCUCGACAAC